GUCGGGUUGCAGCGCUCACUUUUAAGAGUUACACACAAGUCACAGGAAACUUGAUCCUGACUGAUGGAUGGUACUGCCUGUACAUAUACCAGCGAGGUUUGCUAUGAUGUAGAUGCAGAACAAAGCCUGCAUCAAAGUCACCUUUCUCAGAUGGAAAAAUUAUUGUUUAAAUCAGCAUACCUGUUGUUUGCUUAGCAAAAUCCUGCAUACACAAGGAAGGAAUAUUAAAUUUCACAUCCAAACCUUGUUUAACGAUUUACAUUUCAUUGCCUGAGGUUAAGCAGAAACGAGGCACAAAAGCUUACUGAGAAACCACAAACCUAAUUUACUUUCUCAAAAGUGUCAAGAGUACUAGCCUGAGGUUUCUUUGGGAAAUGCUUUCUAGAAUUAAAUUAUGAGUCUCACUCAAUUUCUGCUAUGCAAAACCUUAGCCAUAGUGGAGGCUAGGGGAAAUGUCAGCCAAAGGAAAAACAGGUAAAUAAGGUCAGCAUGAAAGCAUUUACCUUUACUUUGAGUCAAGAAGAGGACAGCAGCUUUUCAAAGUUUUCUACCUUUAAAAAGGUUGACUUUUGCCUCUUACAAUAUUUUGCAUUACAGCAUUGAAACAGAAGUAAAGUAAGCAUCAAAUAAAUUUGUAGUGGCCCCCAUUUUAGAUAUGCCAGUACCUCACAAGGCACACUUAUACUGGAAAGAAUGCAAACCGACUAGAAAAAUACUCCUACACUGAAUUAGUGCUAGUGCUGGGUGUCUAAAGCCUAACUUGGAGUGAUUUUACCACUGAAGAUACAGCUCAUGAGCUUUAUUGAUCAAUCAAUUUUUCUGUAUUCUUUUCUCCAUACAAGCUAUUAAAGAGUCCAAGAGCACCUGUCUUCUAGAACAGCCCACAGUUUGGAAAUAACCCAGGAAAGAAAAAAAGUGCAUAAUCCAGGGAGGAGGAUACAAAAUGCUCUCCAUCUGAGAAUCCUGGUCUCUUACACUUUCCAGACAGUCCUGACAACAUCUUUGGAUUUUACUGAACUGUUCCACAAGUGAAAAGGGGAUUUCACUUUUUGGGAGCCUUAAUCCAGUGGAGAAUACAAACAUGUGGCCAAAGAUGUUUGGAUUCCCUUGUUUCCUUUGUCUAAAAGAAGUAUAAAGGCUGAUGCUACAAAACAAAAUAAGG